UGGCUACUCCCUCCGUUCCUAAAUACUUGUCUUUCUAGGUAUUUCAACAAGUGACUACAUACGGAGCAAAAUGAGUGAAUCUACACUCUAAAAUAUGUCUACAUACAUCCGUAUGUAGUAGUCAUUUGAAAUGUCUAAAAAGACAAGUAUUUAGGAACGGAGGGAGUACAAC
rnacentral:pre_miRNA from 1 species